UACGUAGGGGGCAAGCGUUAUCCGGAUUUACUGGGUGUAAAGGGAGCGUAGACGGCGGUGCAAGCCGGAUGUGAAAGCCCGGGGCUCAACCCCGGGACUGCAUUUGGAACUGUGCUGCUAGAGUGUCGGAGAGGCAGGCGGAAUUCCUAGUGUAGCGGUGAAAUGCGUAGAUAUUAGGAGGAACACCAGUGGCGAAGGCGGCCUGCUGGGCGAUGACUGACGUUGAGGCUCGAAAGCGUGGGGAGCAAACAGG
rnacentral:rRNA from 1 species